rfam:Cricetulus griseus cell line CHO-K1, whole genome shotgun sequence.
CCAAAGGCUCUUUUCAGAGCCACCCACAAAUUCUGUUGAAACAGCU